CACUGAUGCUCGCAGCCCAGCCAGGAAAUUUCGUCAUCGACAGUGUAUCAAACCUCCCUGCUCUGGAAGCUCUCGCCAAGAGAAGGCAUGUAAUCUACCCCAGUGUCCAGGUUCUUCAACUCCUCCUCUUAUCACCAUGCUGGAUGAAGGUGAAUUGUUCACUUCUUUAAUGAAUACCAGAGGGCAAAACUGAAAAAGAGACAUGAAUAAAUGGCUGCAAUAAGUCUA